rnacentral:rRNA from 1 species
AUUGAACGCUGGCGGAAUGCUUUACACAUGCAAGUCGAGCGGCAGCGCGGGGCAACCUGGCGGCGAGCGGCGAACGGGUGAGUAACACAUCGGAACGUGCCCAGACGUGGGGGAUAGCCCGGCGAAAGCCGGAUUAAUACCGCAUACGAUCUGAGGAUGAAAGCGGGGGAUCGCAAGACCUCGCGCGUUUGGAGCGGCCGAUGGCAGAUUAGGUAGUUGGUGGGGUAAAGGCUUACCAAGCCUGCGAUCUGUAGCUGGUCUGAGAGGAUGAUCAGCCACACUGGGACUGAGACACGGCCCAGACUCCUACGGGAGGCAGCAGUGGGGAAUUUUGGACAAUGGGCGCAAGCCUGAUCCAGCCAUUCCGCGUGCAGGACGAAGGCCUUCGGGUUGUAAACUGCUUUGUACGGAACGAAAGCCCUUCCUCUAAUACAGAGGGUCAGUGACGGUACCGUAAGAAUAAGACACCGGCUAACUACGUGCCAGCAGCCGG